GACGAACGCUGGCGGCGUGCCUAACACAUGCAAGUCGAACGGAAAGGCCCUGCUUUUGUUGGGUUCUCGAUUGGCGAACGCGUGUGUAACACGUGAGUAUCAUGCCCUUGUCUUUCUGGUAACUUCUGGGAACUGGGGCUAAUACCGGAUAGAAUCUCCUGCAGCACGGUGGGGGUUAGAAAGUUUCGGCGGUUGGGGAUAGUCUGGCGGGUUAUCAGCUUGUUGGUCGGGUAGGUGCGUUCCAAGCCUUUGACGGCUAGCCGACAUGAGAGGGUGACCGGGCACAAUGCGACUGAGAUACGGCCCAGAAUCCUACGGUAGGCAGCAGUGGAGAAUAUUGCACAAUGGGCGGGAGCCUGAUGCAGCAACGCCGCGUGCGGGAUGACGGCCUUCGAGUUGUAAACCGCUUUCGCCUGUGACGAAGCGUGAGUGACGGUAAUGGGUCAAGAAGCACCGGCUAACUACGUG
rnacentral:rRNA from 1 species